CGGUGGCGACCGGCGCACGGGUGCGUAACGCGUAUGCAACCUAACCCACUAACAGGGGGAUAACACUGAGAAAUUGGUACUAAUACCCCAUAACAUCAGGACCGGCAUCGGUUCUGGUUGAAAACUCCGGUGGUUAUAGAUGGGCAUGCGUUGUAUUAGCUGGUUGGUGAGGUAACGGCUCACCAAGGCAACGAUACAUAGGGGGACUGAGAGGUUAACCCCCCACAUUGGUACUGAGACACGGACCAA
rnacentral:rRNA from 1 species